CUCCCUCGCGCACCCGAGCCCAUCCCGACGCCGCCUCCUUUCUCCUCCUCUCUGCCCUAACCGCCGGCCGGCGGUUUCUCUUCAUCUCCUCUGCCGACGCCGUCGCCGUGCCCUAGCACAAGCCACCACCGGUCGGGCUGUGUACCUCACCCUCCCGAGACACUUCGGCCACAGGAGUAAGAGCCGGCCUCUCCACGCCGCGCUCUAAGUUUUCAGCGCCGACCACCACCGGCCAUAUCUUCUCUUAUUCCCUUACUAUGCCGUGCCCUAGUAUUGGGUUUGCAUCUGCUGCCGCUUGAUAUCUUCUCCCCUCUGCCGGUCCAUCUCUCCUUCUCCUCCUUUCCGAGCCGCACCAGGCGCCGCCACCACCUGAGGCUGAACGGAGCAACGCCUGACCUAGGGUUUCCGGCAGUGGGCUGAUACCUGAUUAUUCCAGCCACUGCUGGUUGCUACCAUCGCCGGAAAAGAAGUGACAGUGGUGUGAAGCUAUUGGAUUCCGGCUACCACAACAUUGAAUGCCUUGGUUGUUUCCUUGAUAUCCAACUUUGAUCCGAUCAGUGAAAGGACUUUGACGCGAGACGAGUAUCUCGAUGUCGGAUUUGGACAUUCCUAUUGGAGGCGGG